rnacentral:rRNA from 1 species
UACGUAGGGGGCAAGCGUUGUCCGGAAUUAUUGGGCGUAAAGCGCGCGCAGGCGGCUUUGUAAGUCUGUCGUUUAAGUUCGGGGCUCAACCCCGUAUCGCGAUGGAAACUGCAAGGCUUGAGUACAGAAGAGGAAAGUGGAAUUCCACGUGUAGCGGUGAAAUGCGUAGAGAUGUGGAGGAACACCAGUGGCGAAGGCGACUUUCUGGGCCGUAACUGACGCUGAGGCGCGAAAGCGUGGGGAGCAAACAGG